rnacentral:rRNA from 1 species
GACGAACGCUGGCGGCGUGCCUAAUACAUGCAAGUCGAACGGUCUUUUCUAUGGAAGCUUGCUUCCACUGAGAAGAUAGUGGCGAACGGGUGAGUAACACGUGGGUAACCUGCCCAUAAGAGGGGGAUAACAUCCGGAAACGGGUGCUAAUACCGCAUAGUUUUCUUGAUCGCAUGAUCGAGAAGGGAAAGACGGCCUUUGUGCUGUCACUUAUGAAUGGACCCGCGGCGUAUUAGUUAGUUGGUGAGGUAACGGCUCACCAAGACGAUGAUACGUAGCCGACCUGAGAGGGUGAUCGGCCACAUUGGGACUGAGACACGGCCCAAACUCCUACGGGAGGCAGCAGUAGGGAAUCUUCCGCAAUGGACGAAAGUCUGACGGAGCAACGCCGCGUGAGUGAAGAAGGUUUUCGGAUCGUAAAACUCUGUUGUCAGAGAAGAACAAGUCGGAGAGUAACUGCUCCGGCCUUGACGGUAUCUGACCAGAAAGCCACGGCUAACUACGUGCCAGCAGCCGCCGUAACAC